AACGCGAAGAACCUUACCUGGGUUGAACUACGCAGGAAAAGCCGUAGAGAUACGGUGUCCGAAAGGGCCUGCGAUAGGUGGUGCAUGGCUGUCGUCAGCUCGUGUCGUGAGAUGUUGGGUUAAGUCCCGCAACGAGCGCAACCCUUGUCCUGUGUUGCCAGCGGAUAAUGCCGGGGACUCGCAGGAGACUGCCGGGGUCAACUCGGAGGAAGGUGGGGACGAAGUCAAGUCAUCAUGCCCCUUACGUCCAGGGCUGCACACAUGCUACAAUGGCCGGUACAAAGGGCUGCGAAACCGCAAGGUGGAGCGAAUCUCAAAAAGCCGGUCUCAGUUCGGAUUGGGGUCUGCAACUCGACCCCAUGAAGUCGGAGUCGCUAGUAAUCGCGAAUCAGCAACGUCGCGGUGAAUACGUUCCCGGGCCUUGUACACACCGCUCGCGA
rnacentral:rRNA from 1 species